AUAAUGGAGGUAGGCCAUUGGGUAGGUGGUACUUCAAUUCCGGCAGAAGAGGAGUUGACAGAGAAAGAGAGAAACGGCGUGGCUGAGAGAAACGAGCCGAGACAGAGUGGUCGAGGUGAAGGGAAAGGAAGAACGGAAUCCGGUGGAAAACGAGAAACGGGGGCAAGAAAGACAGGAAAAGAGAGACGACGUUCGUGGUAGGAGAAACGGCGCUGAAUAAUUGAGGAGCGAGCAAUUUAGGGAUGGUGAGUCUCCCUAUUACCGUCAACCCUGCUGAACGGACUCGCGAUCUUCCCUUUCUAUCGCGUUGCGGCCUUGUCAUCGAAAGCAGCUGCGAUUUUCGUGGCGAAGAAGUAUGCCUGCAAUAAUUAAAACCCCCUUACACUGUUAAUCGCGUUAAGGGAGCAUUUCGCUUAAUUAACUCGCGUCUUCUACACUGCGGCGUUCGUCUGGUAUUCCGAGAAAGGAGAAAGGGUGCGUACCAGUCAGUCUGUUCGCGCUCAGUUUCGAUUACAGCCGAGGGAUGACGCGCGGACGUCGCUUCUCCGCCAAAGAUCUUUCAUUGUCAAAGCUCCGAAAUUCGAGACGCCUCCCCUCAUCUCGUCAGAUUCUCGCGACGAUUAUAAAGCAGCACGCGGCAGGAUUUCGUUCGUGCAGCGAAAAUUACAGAGUAGUGGUGGAAUCGAAACGCUCGGACAUGAGUUAGACGAAUAAAGAGUAGCGGUCGUAAAAAGUCGCAUGUAGGUUGAAGACCGGAAAAUGCAUCGCGCGGAUGAACCACGACACCUCGCGUGCCGUUUUCGAUCUCCUAUGAGACAAGAUGUAACGUAAAAUGAUGUUACGGCUUCCACAUCCCAUUGAAAAGGAAGCGCAAAUUCCAUUUGUCGGCAGCACCGCGAAUAAAGACGUAGACGAACCUGGGGGAUAGCUUGCUAUCGAUUCGCGGUUCUUCCGGAAUAUUUACGUUCGAGCGAGCGAAGAUUGACCCGCCGCUGGAAUUUUGUUUAAGGUUCCACCGAGCAGACCCGUUUGGCGUUUCGCCAUGCCAGAAUCAAUUGCGAGAUAGCCGAAACCCAGAGACGCUUCCACGUUGCCGAAAAACCAUAUAGUAUGGAACAAUGGUGGAAUUCAGAAGGGAAAUCAACCGAAACUAUCGGACGAAUCGAUAAAAAUCUGAAAGUAGACGGGGAAGCAGCGUGUUCGAAUCCCAACGUGUCCUGUUUACCGCGUGGAGCGCGGCUAACUUGUCGUUUGUUGCCUAUAAAAAGAUCGAAAGAUCGCAAAACGGCCGAUAGAGAGCUCGGUGGUCCAGCGCGGGAACACGUAAAGCAAAAGGGGAAAGAAGGACGGAUGCAAAGAGAAAAACGCGAGGGGGAGAGAGAAGAAGAGAAGGAAAGCCGUAUAUCGAUGCGAGUAAGUACACAGGCGGUCGUGUCAGCGCGAGAGGGAUAUUUUUUCGAGAAGUCGCUUGAGAGACGCAUCUCGAUCGUGAAAGCGUGCUGGUCGGCCACCGGAAGUUGUCGCGCGUUUCCCCAACGAGGUAGGGGGAGAAAUAGCGUCGGGGCGAGGAUCGACGGGGCCUGGGUGUGCUGACGAGGAGGGAACAGAGGGAUCGACCAAGAACGACCAAGUGACACACACCAGAGACGACGCGAUAAAGAGGAAAGAGAGAAGAAAACAGAGACACGCGGAGAAAUGAAGAGAAGAACGAUAGAGACACGAACCGAAGAGAAGAGAAGAGAAGAGAAGAGAAGAGAAGAGAAGAGAAGAGAAGAGUAGAGAAGAGAAGAGAAAACAUGCGGCGCUUUUAAAUAUAGACGCGCGAGAGCGCGCGCAUAACCAUAGAUGCAGAGAAACAGAGAGGACCGCGUGUAUGCACGCAGAAGCGUGUUAUCAAAGGAUUGGAAGGCAGCCGAAGCGGCUCUGCAUGAAAUUUUGCGUGCAUUAUAAAUGCGCGCAGCCUUGCGGGUGGGAGCGAGACCGGCACUGUUCCUCCGAUAAAGACGAGAACAACGGAGAUCGAGAGACAGGUGAGCGAUGGGGAGAGGAACUGUUGGAGAGGAGAGGAGAAAAAGAGAAGAGCGGCGAGGAGAAGGCGAGGGCAGAGGAGAGGGAGAGACGCGUAUGGAGCCCUGACCAGGCAGGGUUAGGUUGGGCCUGAAACGUUGGUUGGACGCGACUCUAACCUACCGUAACGCUAUAAAAAUAACGGCUACCCUCGUCCUUCUUUCACGCGACAUGCCCACCAUCUGGCCCUCUUUAUUCUUCCUGCUGGAUUAUCCUGCUUCCUCGUCGCACGAGCGACGAUCUUCUAUUGGCGGCGUUACUCUGUUACGCACGGUGCAGCAGGGACGAUGAUCAUCGAACACAGAACAGAGGGAGGGACGUGUGUGUGCGCUGCUGAGGGCGGAAGGGGUACGUAGUGCAGGAGGAUAGAGAGAAAGAGUCCGUACGGUGUGCGUGUGUGCGUGCGUGUGUGUGUAUGUGUGAGCGAGCGCGCGUUUGCGAGCGUGUGUUUGUGCGCGCGCGAUCGGAAGAGGACAGCGGAGGGAUAAGAAAGAAGAGCCGUCCGGAGAAGAAGGUACUUACGCGUGUGCUUGCAUGCGUACGGAGCAUGUGUUACGUGAGAAGCCCGUUUACGUCGCGCAAAAAUUACUCUCGUUGUGUACGAUUGCCCCCGAUUCGAUGUCGAUUCGUCGUCGAUUCGUCGUCGAUUCGAACGCACCCGUUCGUAGUGGCUUUUCGCGUAAUCUGCCAGCAGGCUCUUUCGAUUCGUCCCGCUCGUUAUUCCUGGCCGAAGACUUUAUUAGUCGAGGGCUGGAGAGACGAACCUUUGAAUUUUCCACGCGUUUUCAACUGGAUUCACUGUGUCGAAAUCGAUCAUCCGUCUCUUGGAGUAAUUUUGUCGUUUGUAGUCGACGUUCGAUCCAUUCGCUGCGAGAAUAACGAACGGACGCAACUCGCGAUCGAAGGAGCGAGCAGCGGAUUAAAAUUUAAUUAAUCAUUAGGUGAUAAAAAAUUGGCUUGCCCGUUUAUUCGCUUUAACCAAACGCUCCUAAAUCAGAUUAACCAUCCCCUGUUCGAUGUUCUUUCCGAAUUAAUCCAUUUUUAAUUUCACUGUUAAGACUGUUUUUUAUUCGAAUUAUUUACACGGCAUUCGGAAAUUUCCAUCAACGUACUGUUCCGCCAAAAAUGGACGCUUUGAUCGUUGGUAAUUCCUCGGGAUCUGCUGUAAUCGCGUUCGCUCGUAGAAAACGAGGCGAAAAUAAAUAUUCGAAGAAGGAGGUGAAUCUUAAGGGGUGAGGAUCGAAAAGGGCGUCGAUUAAGAUUCCGACGCUCGAAGCUCGAUACACGAGGCAAGGAGGGAUAAAGGGUUACUACGAUGGCAGUCAUAUAAACGAGAUGGACGUUUCUCGAACCGGUUGGCACCUGCUCCACGGUGUGUUUCAGUCGGCCACGGCCUUUCGUUUAUAACGGAGAAGAACAAACCGAUCGAGGAGUGCAACGUGCAUCGUGGAUCGGCCAGUGGACAACGUGGAUCGGCGAGGGGAAGCGAGAGGGCAGGAAAGGCCGCGAAGAAAACGUGCAGCAAAACGGUCCGCUCCACACUUGCGGGCUAUCCUGUGAAGGUCGAUCUUCCGAACCAGAACAGUCGCGAGCUGUGAAUGCGAUCGUAUCUUUCGGAUUCACGCGUUCCGAUAAAUCGAACAGCGUCCGUUUAGUUUAAUACCGAUGCGCGAGCAAUGAUCGAGAUAUCGAAACGAAGAACGAGGACGAUACGACGAUGACGCAUCGUUGCCAGAUCGGGAUGGAAUGCAAACGAUGCGCCAAUCGGUAACCUCUUCGACUCUGCUGUCUGUCUUCCUCGUUCUUUUCUUCGUUUCCAGUUCUCAUCUUUUAUCGCUCGAUUUCUUUGGACGUCGACGCGAUGCACGAAACUCGUAAAAGUAAAAGUAAAAGUAGAUACGUAUCGGUAAGAUAGUUGGAACUGUUAUUGCUAUGACCGAGCUUUGAGCGAUGCCACAAGAAAUGGUAUUUGUACGUACAGUUGUCUUUUUAAAUCAGGUUCCAUAUUUCACUUCUAUAGUAUCAACUUUUUGCAGUGAUUUAAAUGUAUUACCAAAUGAGACGAAAUUUAAUACACCUACUGUAUACUUGGAUCUAAUUAAAUAGCGAAUGCUGUAACACGUACAACAGCGUAUAAAUUUCGUAUCGUAGAUCGUACGCGUAAAUUUUUUAUGGGUGACUUUACCAUUUAGCGAGAAGAAAGUGGAUCUCGGCGACAUAGCGCGACCACAUCGCAGUAGCAUGCAAAAGAAAAAAAAAAACUAUAUUUGUCGCUUGACAAGGAUUACUCGAAUAACGUACUCUAUUAUAUCAACGUCUGAGAAAUCAAAUUGAUCAACUCCAUUUUCUAUAAACCUGCAGUUGCAUUAUUCGAGAUGAUUAAGAA